rnacentral:rRNA from 1 species
GACGAACGCUGGCGGCGUGCUUCAUACAUGCAAGUCGAGCGGGGUCCAUCCAGUGGCAACACUGGUGAAGACCUAGCGGCGAACGGGUGAGUAACACGUGAGGAACCUGCCCCAGAGACCGGGAUAACCCUCCGAAAGGAGAGCUAAUACCGGAUGCCCCCACCGGAUCGCAUGGUCUGGUGAGGAAAUGGAUUCCGCUCUGGGAGGGCCUCGCGGCCUAUCAGCUUGUUGGUGAGGUAACGGCUCACCAAGGCGUCGACGGGUAGCUGGUCUGAGAGGACGGUCAGCCACACUGGGACUGAGACACGGCCCAGACUCCUACGGGAGGCAGCAGUGGGGAAUCUUGGACAAUGGGCGCAAGCCUGAUCCAGCCAUGCCGCGUGAGUGAAGAAGGCCUUCGGGUUGUAAAGCUCUUUUGUCAGGGACGAUAAUGACGGUACCUGAAGAAUAAGCCCCGGCAAACUUCGUGCCAGCCGCCGCUGUAA